rnacentral:lncRNA from 1 species
AUUUAACAAAGGUCAUUAGGUCAGCAGCUCAAUAGCAGCUCUUCACCUUCAAAGCUUAGUCAUAGUUAGGUUUUACUCCUUAGUAAUUAGAGUAUAUAUUAAGCCCGUCUUUUCUAUUUUAGCUCAAAUCAUCAUCAACUCAUCUUAAUCUGGUGAUCGAAUUCUUGAUAGUUAUCGAAGUUCUUUUAUCUUCAAAUACGGUAAAAGCGCUUAUCUGCACUCAACAUUUGCUACGAUCGCCUUUUAAAGAGUGCAAGCUUGAAGAUAUUUUAGAGGAAGUCUAGAAAAUUGAGAAAAUUGAAGAAGAAUAUCCGACUCAUCUUUGAGGAUUGAUUAGCCAGUUGAUGUACUUAAACUUAACAACAUGGAACAAAUGUAUUAAUUCAUUCUUUUGUGAUUGUUAAAUAUCAAAUUACUGUUUGCUCUAAAUAGUAAUAGAACUAAGGACUAAACGUCAACUUAGUUAAUGCAUUACUAAUCAACUUAUUAAUUUAUAUUGUCUACUUUGCAGAUGCAUGCUAUAGUUUUUCAAAAAUAUGAUUUUUUGGUUUUUGUAAGCAAUGAUGUUGUAGAAUUUAACGAUGUGAAUGUAAACAACCCUACUAACUUUGACGACAAUAAUUUGACUAUGCAAAUUAUUUAUGCCUCUAUGUUACUUUCGUGAGUUUCUCUAAUGUACUAGUCUACUAGAUAGUUGUAUAAUGAAUCACUCUUGAUUACUGAUACUAUUUUAUGAUUUGUUCAAAACAGUAAUAGUAAUUUUGAGAAGUUGUAUUUUAGAUAUAAUGGAGAAUUGCCUAUUGAACUUAUAGGCUUGCAAUGCAAAAUAAACUACUAAUUGCUUUUUUUUGGGAUGAAAAAUCAUGUGAGUGUUCACCGUUUUCUUUAAAUCACUAAAAGAACACAUGCUCUUUAAUCUUUAUAAAAAAAACUCGAGAAAAUUGAAUAACUCGAAAAAAUUUGAGAUUGAAAAAAUCUGACUAUUAUUGGUUUGGUUUGGUUUGUAUAUUUUUUAACUUGAUACAAAUGGGUUGGUUUGAUUUUUAAAAAAUCCAAACCGAUCCGGUAAUGUACACCCCUAGUUUAAACGUAUGCAAAAGAGGUAUGUGAACACUCCAUUUGGGAGAUGUGAGAGGUUGGUUGUACUAGGAAUUAGGUAAUGAAGGUGUAUGCACAAAAAAAAUGCAGACGUAGGACACGGGGGUGAUAAGACAAGACUUAACUCAACUUCAAUUUAUUAAGAACAUGAACCUAAAUAAGAAGUCAUAGAGAAGUUUGAGACAAUGACCAACCCCUUAUUUACUCUUCGUACUACUUGCAAUCGUGCUUCAAUAAGAAAUAACCACUUUAAAGAUAACGAUAAGAUCAACGUAUCAAUGAGUAAUACAUUUCUUGUUGGGCGAUGCACUAUAUUUUUGACUGGGAAACUUACAUAAAUAUACUAUAUUAAGAAAAUAUUUACCAUCACUUUUAAUACAUAUUAUAAAGAAUAAUUUAUUAUUCACAUAUAAUACAAGUUUUAUUGAUGAUUAAUACAUUUACGACACAUUUUAAUUUAAUACACUUAUAAUACAAUGUGUCAAUUUCUUACCAAACAAGC